AAACCCACUAAAUAAGAUGGUAGCAUUUCUCUUCGAGCCUCAACUACGGCCUCCGCCUUCCGCGAAGCGGCGAUCGUAGCAGUCGCUAUAUCCACCUCUUCCCAUUCCCGUCCCUUGUCGCCUCGCGUCGACGCGCAAUACCUUCGCCACCCCAAGAAACCCGAGGGCCCCCCACGGAGGACUCCCCGACGACCGAUCUCAAGCCCUCCGACCAACACGACAUCGUUCUUCCGGAGUUGAUGACAGUUCUUGGUGGAUAUGAAUGUGAAGGCUGUGUUUCAGCAGCAAAAGGAGUAAAAGGUGUUGAUGUUGAUUCGACUAAUCAAGUUGCAAGAUUUAUUGGAUCCCUCCCUGUGGAGAUCACGGUAGAUGCUCGGGAGCAGACAGGUCGAAAUGCCAGAUUGAUUAGACAAGAGAAUCCUAAUGGUAAGUGUUUGACUUGCCCAUGUCCUCAUCCAAAAAGUUCAACAUUGACUUAGUCCAGAUCUUUUCCUUCUUUCUUCUUCUUCUCUCUCUCUCUCUCUCGCCCUCUCUCUCUUUCUCUUUUCGUAGUAUCCUAUUUCUCAUGCUCUUCUUCUAUUGAAUCAUGCUUCUUCUUAAAUUCAGUUGUAGAAUGUGUAUUCGUUUUGUUAGUUGUAGUGUAGUUGUGAGAUAAUAUUUCCUGCUGGUAUUAUCUGGCAAAUCUCUGUAAAGUCGAAGUAACCUUGAUGCAUGAUGAAGUCAAAAAUUUAUGAUCAGCAAAGCUAGAUUUUCUUGUUUUGUA